rnacentral:rRNA from 1 species
CAAUAGCGUAUAUUAAAGUUGUUGCGGUUAAGAAGCUCGUAGUUGGAUUUCUGCUGAGAACGACCGGUCCGCCCUUUGGGUGUGUAUCUGGCUCUUUCUUGGCAUCUUCUUGGUGAACGUUGCUGCACUUGACUGUGUGGAGCGCUACCCAGGACUUUUACUUUGAGGAAAUUAGAGUGUUUCAAGCAGGCAUACGCCUUGAAUACAUUAGCAUGGAAUAAUAAGAUAGGACCUCGGUUCUAUUUUGUUGGUUUCUAGAGCUGAGGUAAUGAUUAAUAGGGAUAGUUGGGGGCAUUCGUAUUUAACUGUCAGAGGCGAAAUUCUUGGAUUUGUUAAAGACGGACUACUGCGAAAGCAUUUGCCAAGGAUGUUUUCAUUGA